rnacentral:tRNA from 1 species
CAGUAAUUAGUUUAUUAAUAAAAAUAUAAUAUUUGGGUUAUUAAGAAGUUUUACUGA